UCCACCACAGUUGCAGCAAACUGCUCCCUCAGUAAGUAAUCAUGCGCCUGGGUUGGGUGCCUCUGCAAUUCCUCUCUCGUCACCAUAUACUUUUACCCCACCUUUUGGCCAGCCACAAAAUAAUGUCAGUGCAUCGUCCCAGUUCCAGCCGAUGCCUCAAAUACAUGCACCUGUUGUUCCUGCAGGUGGACAACCUUGGUUGGCCCCUGGAAGCAAUGGUGUAUCACAUGGUGCAGCAAUACAGCCAACCGGGCAGCAGCCUUCUGUAUCUUCUUCCUCAGAUCCAGCAGUGAAUGUUCCUAGCCAUAAUCAACAGUCUUCAUCUGACUGGCAAGAGCACACAGCUUCUGAUGGAAGGAGGUUUGGUUUUCGCAUAGCUGUGAUUUUUGUCUCUGUUUAUGUUAUUCAAAAUUUUUCUACUGAUACCACUACCACCUUUUAUAAGAGUCCAUAUUUUAUUGCUGUAGUUUGUAAUUAUCAACUUCUGCCUUUAUUUUAGUUUGUCUAGAAAUUGUUCAAGUCAUUCUUCCUUGUAAAAUACUUGAUAACCAGUGGAUGCUUUUUUCCAGAUAUUACUACAACAAAAGAACAAAACAAUCUAGUUGGGAG
rnacentral:misc_RNA from 1 species